UCCAGCUUGUUGGUGGGGUAAUGGCCUACCAAGGCGACGACGGGUAGCCGGCCUGAGAGGGCGACCGGCCACACUGGGACUGAGACACGGCCCAGACUCCUACGGGAGGCAGCAGUGGGGAAUAUUGCACAAUGGGCGAAAGCCUGAUGCAGCGACGCCGCGUGAGGGAUGACGGCCUUCGGGUUGUAAACCUCUUUCAGCAGGGAAGAAGCGCAAGUGACGGUACCUGCAGAAGAAGCACCGGCUAACUACGUGCCAGCAGCCGCGGUAAUACGUAGGGUGCGAGCGUUGUCCGGAAUUAUUGGGCGUAAAGAGCUCGUAGGCGGCCUGUCGCGUCGGAUGUGAAAGCCCGGGGCUUAACCCCGGGUCUGCAUUCGAUACGGGCAGGCUGGAGUGUGGUAGGGGAGAUCGGAAUUCCUGGUGUAGCGGUGAAAUGCGCAGAUAUCAGGAGGAACACCGGUGGCGAAGGCGGAUCUCUGGGCCAUUACUGACGCUGAGGAGCGAAAGCGUGGGGAGCGAACAGGAUUAGAUACCCUGGUAGUCCACGCCGUAAACGUUGGGAACUAGGUGUUGGCGACAUUCCACGUCGUCGGUGCCGCAGCUAACGCAUUAAGUUCCCCGCCU
rnacentral:rRNA from 1 species